rnacentral:rRNA from 1 species
ACACCCUCGCACGGUGAAACCGCGAAUGGCUCAUUAAAUCAGUCGAGGUUCCUUAGAUGAUCCAUUUCUACUUGGAUAACUGUGGCAAUUCUAGAGCUAAUACAUGCGGACCAGCUCCGACCCGGUGUCGCAGCCGGGAAAGAGCGCUUUUAUUAGUUCAAAACCAGUCGGCGGGUCCGCCCUUCGCGGGGUGGCCGGCCGUCCCCUUUUGGUGACUCUGGAUAACUUUGUGCCGAUCGCAUGGCCUCGAGCCGGCGACGCAUCUUUCAAAUGUCUGCCCUAUCAAAUGUCGAUGGUACGCGAUAGGCCUACCAUGUUGACUACGGGUGACGGGGAAUCGGGGUUCGAUUCCGGAGAGGGAGCAUGAG